rnacentral:lncRNA from 1 species
UUUAAUAAAAAGAUUAGAAAUUUUAUGCAAACCCAAUAAAAUCUCAAUAAAUUUGAUACAAAUCAGAAAUAAUAAAUUUAAAAAAAUUAACAACUCAAUAAUUUUAUGACAAAUCUAGAAAUUACACGCCCAAUAUCCACAAAUCCCAACUCAUAUAUAAAUGAAGAGGAAGGAAGAACCAAAGGACUGGUUGUGAAAGUGAAAGAAAUAGAGAAGAAGGCACGCGCGAAAGCAACAAGCCCCACAACAAUGAUGAAAGCAUGGAGAAGGCAACCAAGAACAUGAAUGGAUUUCUUUGGCUUUGCAACUCGCGAUGAAGAUACGAUGGGCGAGAAUGAGAAGGAUUGCAAGAGGGAGCUGAAGGUGAGAAAGCGAGACUAAAAUUCGAAGGUGAAAGAGUUAGAGUGAAGGCGACGACAAUGAUAUGGAGAGGAAAAGGAAGGAACGAAGGAAAAGAUGGAAGAA